rnacentral:rRNA from 1 species
UACAGAGGGUGCGAGCGUUGUUCGGAAUUAUUGGGCGUAAAGCGCUUGUAGGCGGCACGUCAAGUCGCGUGUGAAAUCCCCAGGCUUAACCUGGGAAGUGCGCGCGAAACUGACGAGCUUGAGUGCCGGAGAGGGUCGCGGAAUUCCCGGCGUAGAGGUGAAAUUCGUAGAUAUCGGGAGGAACACCGGUGGCGAAGGCGGCGACCUGGGUCGAUACUGACGCUGAGGUGCGAAAGCGUGGGGAGCAAACAGG